rnacentral:lncRNA from 1 species
AUUUUGGUUUGUGUAUUGGAAUUUUAGUUUAUAAAUUGAACUUUUAGGAUUUGUAUUGAACUUUUAUGGAUAUGAGUUGAACCUUUAGGAUAUGAAUUGAAAUUUUGGUUUAUGUCUUGGAAAUAUUUUAGUUUAUAAAUUAAAGUUUUAGGAUUUGAUUUGAACUUUUGUGGAUAUGACUUGGACCUUUAGGAUAUGAAUUGAAAUUUUGGUUUAUGUAUUGGAAUUUUAGUUUAUAAUAUGAAAUUUUAGGAUAUGACUUGAACUUUUGUGGAUAUGAGUUGAACCUUAAGGAUAUGAAUUGAAAUUUUUAAUUUAGUAUUGGAAUUUUAGUUUAUAAAUUGAAAUUUUAGGAUUUGACUUGAACUUUUGUGGAUAUGAGUUGAACCUUUAGGAUAUGAAUUGAAAUUUUGGUUUAUGUAUUGGAAUUUUAGUUUAUAAAUUGAACUUUUAGGAUAUGACUUGAACUUUUGUGGAUAUGAGU